AUGCGUUCAGAAGCUGAUGCAGACCUUACUACACAUGCUGAAUUCUUCAUCAACAACCUCAAAGAGACAUGGACCCAUGACUACGAAAACUCAAGGGUCCAGAUCAGUCAUUUUCCAAUCGAGUAUGUCGCGACUACGAAGCAAGGAAACUGGCAUGACUAUGGGUUUCACACAUUGGAAUACCUUGCAAAGUGGGAAGGUCGAUGGGUCCCUGUCAUCACAGCUGCAAUGGUCGUUGAGCUUCGCAAAAUAUACACAUGGAACUGGUUGAUGAAUGAAGAUUUCAACACGUGA
rnacentral:rRNA from 1 species